UCGUGGAUUGAUUUGUCUGGUUAAUUCCGUUAACGAACGAGACCUUAAUCUGCUAGUUAGUUGGGCAAAGCCUUUUGGCUUUGUUAUAUCCAACUUCUUAGAGAGACUGUUGGCGUUUAGCCAAAGGAAGUUUGAGGCAAUAACA
rnacentral:rRNA from 1 species